AAUAAAUAAUGUUUUCCGCUCGUUUAGUUUCUGUUUGCCGCUAUGCAACAAGUACAAUUUUAUUAUUGGCAAACUCACUAACUCACGUUUGCCUUAUGAUCUGGUCGUCCACUUGAGUUUCAGCUGAAUUUAUCGGUUCUAUUGCGGUUCCUGUAUUGUUCGUCGUCGAGGAGGAAAUUGACGUUGGUGGCACAUGUUUUUCAAUAUUGUUUUUUGUGUCCAUAUGUCAGGAAAUUAAGUUGAUUCAACCUGUGAAAAUGUUUUAAUACAAAUUCUGGAAACCAAUGGAUCUGAUCAAAUAUAUGUUACAUUCUCAAUACAUAGAAAUGGAGAUUCAUGUUUACUGGAUCGGUAACUGAUGGUGGAUCAUAUUAAAUGAUGAUUCAUGCUUUAUAGGAUUGGUAUCUGAAGUUUUGAGAAGAGCAACAAUUCAAAUCUUGUUAAUAUGAGUUAGAUUCCAUGGUUUUACUACUAUUAAUGGAUUAUUUUUUUCUAUUCUGUCAAAAUUAUGGUCACCAAUGAAAAUGUACAGGUUUUGUUACAAGCUGCAAAUCACUUAUAGUUGGACUAGUACAAGUGGUCUAUAUGCAAAGUUUUUACGAACACAAAUGGAUACUCAAAUUACCUUUCUAUAAACUAUUUUGCCAACUUACAAAGUUGUACGAAGUUCUUGUCAAGGUCUGAAGCAAUAAUAAACAGUUUUUAUAAGUGAUUAAAGGUUAUGAGUGCCUAUCGUUAUCUUGUGAAAAAUGUACUGAAAUUAUUUCCUGUAAUGACCUUGCUGUUCUAUUUGAGGAAAAAUUAAUGAUUUUGUAUUAGAAGCAUUAAAAUUUUAUUUACAAAAGUCAGUUCAGCAUUUCGCCAUUCCAAAUACGAUUCAGUGCAGAGAUUUUUGAUGUCAGUGUUCAAAAAUGGAAUAUGUUUACUAAUAUGACUAUUGACUACAAACAGAGUGAUAUGCGUGUGGAUAUACACAAUAAUUGUUUAUAUGAGAUGGAAGUUUUUGAUGGUUCAAAACAUUUGAAGUCUGAUGAAUGUUAUGAUUAGGGGCCGGAAUUAUAUUCUUUUAAAAUAGCCAAAUGAUGCCAAUAUUCUCUAAAAAAAGUUGAAAAUAUUCUUGCAAUAUUCUUUAAAAAUCAUAAUAAGAUAUGCAAAAUAUAUGCUUUUUUAUUAAUAUAUUAUCUUGAACUAAAAAUAUUCAUUUAUAUGCAAAAUAAUACAAAAAAACUGAUAUAAAUAAGUAUAUGAUAAAGAAUAAUAUGCAAAAAAUAAGUUACAACUAUACAGUUAACAACUAUGUGUUCUGGUGUCAUAAUUGUACGACGGUCUGUUAAUAUGUUUUUAUACGUGCUAAAUGAACGUUUGACGUCAACUGAAGUCACAGGAGCAAUUUGCAAAUCAGUAAUCAUAGCCGGUGAAAAAUUGUCUAUAAGUUGAACUUCAUUAUUUUCAUUCAAAACUUUAGCUACGUUUUUCAAAAUGAUGAGCCCUUGAUUUUUUUGUUGAAGUUGAUCAAUUGUUAUUUUUAUUUUGUUUUUAUUUUCUCCGGGUAUUUUUUGAAGUUGACCAAUUGUAUUUUCAAUUAUAUUUAUCAAAUCAACAAAAGACACAUUAGAAUUUUCUUAACUUUUGAUGGAUGUUACAAGAACAAGAAAAUGGGCCUUAAUAAAUAUUAGAUCUUUUCUAAAACUUUAUAUGUUAAGAGAAAAGAACGAGUCUGAUGAUUUGACUAAUAUCCCAACCAAUAAAUUUGCCACAUAACGGCCAUUUAUAUCCGUAGUCUCAUCAACAGCAAACCAAAUAUUAUUAUUGCUUAUUUAAUUUCUUAUAUUGGAUAAAGUCUUAUUAUAACAAUGUGAUAGAUCAUUUUUUCUUAACAGACUUUCAUCGGGUAUGUGUUUGCCAGUAUAUUUUUCUAAAAAUGCCCGAAAUUGUGGAUUUUGCAAUUUAUACCACGGAGUAUUUGCAGCAACAAGACUUAAACAUAAAUCUUCAUAAAAUUCAUUUACAUUUUUUUUAGAAGUCGAUUCUGAUUAUAACAAUUGUUUUGAAGUGAUUAACUAACACUUUUAAGCUUAUUGGUGCGAAAAUGUAUCUACAUAUUGUGAUAACUGAGACUUUUUAAUGCACUGUACAUUUUUAUUACACACUUGACAAAAAAGAGUUGUGCCAUCAGUUGUAAAAUUUAUAUUGUUUUUAUUUAAUGGUUGAAUCCACUGUGAAAUUACAUCUUUUAAUUUAGUUGAUGGUGUUUUCGGCAAUAUGAACAAGUAAAAACAAGUAACUAAUGAAAUAUAAUGAAACUAUAAUCUAUACCUAUGUCAACACUAUACGUCACGCGACACUGCAGUGUUGUACCGUACAUCUAAGUAAUAAUCGAACACCUGGAGCUAGCUAUUUUUGAAGUGUAGUAAUAAUUCCAUUUCUUGUCGGGCAUCGUUAUCUUAGAUAAGCUACUUAUCUACUAUAGACUUUUACAGUACUUAUUAGGACAUAAUGAUUUUAUAUACGAUGGUUAUAAUACGUAUAUAAUGUAUCAAUAUCAUAUCACUAUCAUCGGACACAUUUAUAUUAUUUACGCCACUGCAACAAAAAAUAUAAAAUGUCUAUAAAAAUUAAUUGAUAUAUUCUCAAAUUGUCUUUUAUCUUGAAAUAUUCUCAAAUAUUCUAAAACAACUUUUGCCUUUAAUUAACCGGUUUGAAGAUUUCGAACCGUCUGACUGCAUAGCCUCAAAAAAAAUAUGCAAAAGAAUAUAAUUCCGGCCCCAAGUUAUGAUCCUACACAUGAACUACCUAGUUUAAGAACUGUGUAUGUUACAAAGGAGUUAAUAUAAAAGUUUAGGAGGGUGUUAUGCAUGCGAUCAGAGGUAGUGAUGGAUGAACAUUUCUUAACAAAAUUCAGGCCUGUAGACCAAUGAUGAAGUGUAUGGUAUUUUAUUGCUAAUAUCAAUUUUUCUCAAUACAUGCCUGGAGUUGUCACAUUAGAUGAUUUAUUGUUUGUAAAUGGUGGAGAAACAGAUAAAUCUGAAAAAUUUGUCAAUACUAUGGAAGUGUACAACCCAACACCAAUACCGGGUCCAUGGAAACAUUGUCAAGAAGCAACAUUGACAUCUGUAUUUUUAGUAGAAUAGUUGUUAAUAGGCCACUACAUUCUAUAUAUUUAAUUAGCAUUGGUUAUAGUCUCAUUGUUGGUAGUUAUAAUACACACAUAUUUAUAACUUAUGAUAAAACAUAUUACAGUAGAAACUCGAUUGAUCAUCAGUGUCGGGACAGGGACUAUGGUUGUUAACGGAAUAGACAUAUUUUUCAACGUGUGUACAUAUUUUCAUGCAAAAAUAACACAAACAUGCAUACUGUAUAAAAUAAUCUGUCAUCCUCUUUUGGUACUUUGAGGCUUGAGUUUUUUGAGCGGCAAUAAUCCGUAUUUUACAGAGAAGUAAAAACUGCAUUGCAUAUGCCCUUUUUUUAGAAGAUGAUGCAUAACAGAAAGUGACAGUUAAUCGAGUUUCUGCUAUAUGUAUAUUAAUUCUAUCAACUUUUGAUUUUUUUUUUUUUGUAAUUGUUCAAUAUAAAGUUUUUUGUAUAAUUUAAAUGCAUUUGUUAUUCAGUAGGUUUAUUCGUAACAGUAAAUAAAAGUUUUU